rnacentral:rRNA from 1 species
UAGGGAAUCUUCCGCAAUGGACGCAAGUCUGACGGAGCAACGCCGCGUGAGUGAAGAAGGAUUUCGGUUCGUAAAACUCUGUUGUUAGAGAAGAACAGCGCAUAGAGUAACUGUUAUGCGUGUGACGGUAUCUAACCAGAAAGCCACGGCUAACUACGUGCCAGCAGCCGCGGUAAUACGUAGGUGGCAAGCGUUGUCCGGAUUUAUUGGGCGUAAAGCGAGCGCAGGCGGUCAAUUAAGUCUGAUGUGAAAGCCCCCGGCUCAACCGGGGAGGGUCAUUGGAAACUGGUUGACUUGAGUGCAGAAGAGGAGAGUGGAAUUCCAUGUGUAGCGGUGAAAUGCGUAGAUAUAUGGGAGAACACCAGUGGCGAAGGCGACUCUCUGGUCUGUAACUGACGCUGAGGCUCGAAAGCGUGGGUAGCAAACAGG